UCAGGCCUAACACAUGCAAGUCGAGCGGUAGCAGGAAGUGCUUGCACUUCGCUGACGAGCGGCGGACGGGUGCGUAACACGUAGGAAUCUGCCUGGUAGUGGGGGAUAGCCCGGAGAAAUCCGGAUUAAUACCGCAUACGCCCUACGGGGGAAAGGAGGGGACUCUUCGGAGCCUUUCGCUAUCAGAUGAGCCCGCGUCGGAUUAGCUUGUUGGUGGGGUAAAGGCCUACCAAGGCGACGAUCCGUAGCUGGUCUGAGAGGAUGAUCAGCCACACUGGGACUGAGACACGGCCCAGACUCCUACGGGAGGCAGCAGUGGGGAAUAUUGCACAAUGGGCGAAAGCCUGAUGCAGCCAUGCCGCGUGUGUGAAGAAGGCCCUAGGGUUGUAAAGCACUUUCAGUGGGGAGGAAAGGUUGAAGGUUAAUACCCUUCAGCUGUGACGUUACCCACAGAAGAAGCACCGGCUAACUCCGUGCCAGCAGCCGCGGUAAUACGGAGGGUGCGAGCGUUAAUCGGAAUUACUGGGCGUAAAGCGUGCGUAGGCGGCCACCUAAGUUGGAUGUGAAAGCCCCGGGCUCAACCUGGGAACUGCAUCCAAAACUGGGUGGCUAGAGUACGGGAGAGGAGUGUGGAAUUUCCUGUGUAGCGGUGAAAUGCGUAGAUAUAGGAAGGAACACCAGUGGCGAAGGCGACACUCUG
rnacentral:rRNA from 1 species